rnacentral:lncRNA from 1 species
CAGGGCCAAGCACAGCUGUAUAUACUCCAGUUCACACCUCAUUUGCAAUGGAGACAGUUUCCUGCAAGCCAUGGCUUUUGUACCAGCACUUGGGAAAUGAAACAAGACAGAGUUUCUGAUAAUUUCAAACUGAGAGCUAGGAAUUGAAGAAAUAAUUAUUGUCACCCUGCUUAUUGGCAGAAUACGUUUUUCUGUAACUUUCUUUAUCCUUGAUUUUAGAAAGGAUCAGAAGCAUAUGAGUUUUUGUAUCUUUGUGUCCACGUACAAGAAUUGAACAAAAAAGAUGCAUUAAUCAACUGUAGAAAGCAAAAGAGCCAGAAGCAGAAGCCAGACAAAUUGUAAUGAUGAAUAAAAUACUUUCUCUUUC